AAUUGAUAAUGAUAUUGAUAAUAAUAAUAAUGACAAUUAAAAAAAUAAAACUUAUUAUGUUUCUGUGAAUGAAGUUGCAAAAUGGAUAUACAGUUAGGUAAGUAAAAUAUCUUUACCUACAUAUCAUAAAAACAAAUAUUUCUUCUUCAUAUAUGUGCAUCCAAAGUCUCCGCUUUAUCCAGGGAGAAAGCUGACGCGCGAGUAAAGGGAUUGACCCCUUCCCACGCCAAUUGGAAUUCGUCGCUGAUCGGCCAAUAGAUAAGUUGGUUGACCCCCUUAAAGCCGGAGCUGGGCGUCGCCUGGUCUGAAUGCGGUUCACAAUUGAUGAUUGGUUUGCUUCUCGUGAACUUCUCACUGAUAUUUGGCCGACUCGGGCCACCAUUAUCUCUAUCUCGUUUGACUGAUUGUUGUGUUCUAUGUUGUUUUGUACGGUCGGGGAAGGUGAAUUCGAGCUUCUUCUAUUUAAUGGGGGAGAUGGUGGGUGAGUAACCACAGGUGGGUUCCCACUCACUGUAUUAGUUGGUGUUGAAACAAUUAUUUGAUCGGCCUGAAUAGUUUGUGUUAAUGCUAUUGGAUGUGCUGAGGGCCAUGACUACUCAUUGGCGCCACUUCGGCGAUGGAAAUCCUCCAACAGGGGCUCCAAAGUCGGUGGACAUUUGAACCCCAAGGGAAGGCCUAUUUCCACGUGUUUUUGUCCACCAAUGUGUCGGAAUAGUUCCUCCCCAUUUACUAAUACCGUCGGAGUGAUAUAUCGGCUUGGGCGAAAUUCUGGCGAUGGUCUUGAAGAGAUUAGACUCCAGUCAUAUCAGAUAAUUGGGAUUCUAUCCAUUCAGAUGAAGACCUGCGUGGAACUGGAUUCCAUCUCGUGUCUGAGAUUGGCUCGGGGGUCAUCCUAUCCCAUGGCCAUGUCUUAUUUUUACUAUAUAUAUAUAAUCUUUUGCUCUUCUUUAAAAAAAAAAAACGUGAGUUAGCUGGAAUAAAAUGUUAUAU
rnacentral:lncRNA from 1 species